AUGUUUACCGGCAUCCGCCUCAACGAGCUUUUCAAUCUGAAAAUGCAAGAUGUGCAGUUUGC
rnacentral:tRNA from 1 species